UGCAUGGUUGUCGUCAGCUCGUGUCGUGAGGAUGUUGGGUUAAGUCCCGCAACGAGCGCAACCCCUAUUGUUAGUUGCCAUCAUUCAGUUGGGCACUCUAGCGAGACUGCCGGUAAUAAACCGGAGGAAGGUGGGGAUGACGUCAAGUCCUCAUGGCCCUUAUGGGUAGGGCUUCACACGUCAUACAAUGGUCGGUACAGAGGGUUGCCAAGCCGCGAGGCGGAGCCAAUCCCACAAAGCCGAUCGUAGUCCGGAUUGUUCUCUGCAACUCGAGAGCAUGAAGUCGGAAUCGCUAGUAAUCGCAGGUCAGCAUACUGCGGUGAAUACCGUUCCCGGGUCUU
rnacentral:rRNA from 1 species